GACCAAUAAUUUAUCUAUGAUAUACACCAAUGGUUACUAAAAAUAUAAUUAUAUGUAAUCAGCCAUGCAUGCCCAGUGGUCAGCUUUCCACAGUGGUCAAUGAAUCUACUUUAGUUUCCCUGUAAGAGAUUCUGUCUUAGCUUGUACUGGGUAAGCAUGUGCUCUUCAUAUUGCAGCAGCUGCCUGGGAUGCAGGGCAUCAUCUUAAACAUACUGCAGUCCAGAAGAACAGCUGACAAGUUCCUCAGCACUGCAUGCAGCAUUGGCUUUGCCCUUUGCCAGAGGAUCUGAACCAUCCUGUGACUCCCUUGUCAGUCCUGCAUGUUCUUCAGGGCCCCAGCUCCCCUAACUUGUAAGUGCCAACACUCUGAUUGCCCAGCAGUGUUCUACAGAAGUGAUAUUACUGAUAUUCUGAGUGUACAUGAGUGAGAGAGUUUGUGGUUCCAGCUCUCUUACCUCUGUCUCUUUCAUCCACAUGAAAUUGCCUGCAGUACUGUAAUAUGUAUUUAAGUGCUGGUUGCCUCAGCACCGAGAACUGUACCUGUCAUUUUCCAUACUUCAUUGUCAGCUCCUCAUAAAAUAUCGUGUUUGCUCCUUUUCUUUGUGUGAGCGAAGUGAUAUUGCACUGAAGUUACUGUCUUGCAUUGUAAAGCUGCAGUCACAUCUAUCUUGGGAACAUGCCUUCAUUAUUUACACAAUGAAAAGAAAGGGAUUUUGGUUUCUCAAAUCUCCUGAUUCAUGCCCUGCCUAAUAAGGUUCUUGUUUGCCUAUCAUUCCUCUGGUUUAUGUGAUGCUGAAAUUGCAAUGAUACGAGGAGCAAAAUGAGAGCAGCUAGUGAAACAGCUUAAAUUCAGGAUAAAACAUCAACAGGCACUUACAUUUAGUUUGUUUUCGAGGGACAGAGUUCAGGACCUACAAAAUAGUAUCACCUAGUGUGUGGACAGAAAUGAAAUUGAAGAUACACACACCUGACAUCUGAG